GUUGAUUGGGAAACUCGUCAAUUUUACGUGAACUACCGAGACAAUCUUACACGCCCAAUGGCGGGCCCCAUCCCUUACGGGACAGCCUCUGAGCCGGGGGAUUACAAAGGACGGUAAGACCUCAAAUCCUGUCUUUUCGGAGUUUCAUCGCAUCCUUUG
rnacentral:sRNA from 1 species